rnacentral:rRNA from 1 species
GCGGUUCCUAUUUUGGUUCUGCAAUUGGAAUGAGAACAAUCUAAACACCUUAACGAGGAGCAAUUGGAGGGCAAGUCUGGUGCCAGCAGCCGCGGUAAUUCCAGCUCCAAUAGCGUAUAUUAAAGUUGUUGCAGUUAAAAAGCUCGUAGUUGGAUUUCGGAGCGGUCGGGUUGGUCCGCCCUUACGUGGUGUGCACUGGCCUUGGUGGUAUGGCUAGGGUGUGUUCCUUUAACGAGGGGCUGCCUUCAGUCUGCCGCCCUUGUUGCGUGUACACGUAGCAAGUGACCGUUCUUCUCCCUCGGAGACGGAGUCUGUCCUUCACUGGAUGGGCUUUGGAUGCGAGGUGUUUACUUUGAAAAAAUUAGAGUGUUCAAAGCAGGCCUUAUCUUCGCUUGAAUACAUUAGCAUGGAAUAAUGGAAUAGGACUCUGUGCCUAUUUUGUUGGUUUGAAGGCAGAGAGUAAUGAUUAAUAGGGACAGUUGGGGGCAUUCGUAUUUAAUUGUCAGAGGUGAAAUUCUUGGAUUUCUGAAAGACGAACAACUGCGAAAGCAUUUGCCAAGGAUGUUUUCAUUAAUCAAGAACGAAAGUUAGGGGUUCGAAGACGAUCAGAUACCGUCGUAGUCCUAACCAUAAACAAUGCCGACUAGGGAUCAGCGUACGUUCGUUCUAUGGGACGUCGUUGGCACCUUACGA